rnacentral:lncRNA from 1 species
UUUAUUAUCGUUUGAAUGACAAAAGCAGUUGAAAAUUAUUGUGAGUUUGGGUAGUAGUUUAAGCUUAUUUUAGUAGAUUUUUAUCAUGUCUUGAUCUGUUGAGGUUUUAUUGAUUCUGAGCUAUUUUACGCGCUUGAGGUGGUGUUUCGUGUGUUUGCAGGUCUGAAGUAUCAAGAGGAAUUUGAUUAGAGAAGAAUCCAGACAAAAAU